rnacentral:rRNA from 1 species
CUUAAAUUGAAGAGUUUGAUCAUGGCUCAGAUUGAACGCUGGCGGCAGGCCUAACACAUGCAAGUCGAGCGGAAACGAGUUAUCAGAACCUUCGG